AUGGCUGUUCGCAUGUUUAGGACAAAAGUGGGUUCAUUUCAGCAUCAUGUACGUGGAUGUGUUGCUUUCAGCACGGAGCGACCAAAACUUGUUACAGUGGGAAUCGACUUUGGAUGCAAAAAUUCAAGAGUUGCAAUAAUAGACUCCUUGGUUCCACAUGUUGUUGACAGUGAAAUUGGCCGUUUCACACCAUCGUAUGUCACAUUUACACAACAGAAUUCAUAUCUACCAUAUAAAUGGAGUCUACAACACUUGGACCCUGUUGGUAACUGUGUUGCAGUUGGAGAACUGGCAAAGCGUAGAAUGUGGAGACAACCUUCAGAUGUUGUUUAUAACAUAAAAAGUUUGAUAGGAAAGCAAUUUCAGGAUCCCUCUGUCCAAGAAAUGAGGAGAAGGGUCCAUUUCAGCAUUAUUGAAGGACCUGGAGGAGAAGCUUGGGUGGGAAUUUGUGGAAUGGAGUUUUCUCCUGUUUGUAUCGCAACUGCAAUCUUCCAAAAACUGAAGCAUAUUGUUCUGAUGGACCAGUUUCAUGAUGAGCUGCAGGCAGUGAUAAGUGUGCCUGCUUUCUUUGAUGAACUGCAGAAGGAGCACAUAAAGUCAGCUGCACACAGAGCAGGCUUCAAGCUAUUGCAACUAAUAGAUGAACCAAUAGCUGCUGCGCUUUCUAGCAUAACAACUGAAGAUGGUAUUGUUGUUGUUUUUGGCAUGGGUGCCGGGUCUUAUAGUGUCACAAUCCUUCGUGUGUCUCCUGACAGAAAAAUUGAGAUCAGAACUCAAUUUGCUGACACCUCUGUCGGUGGGGAUCAGUUUGAUGACAAACUCGUGGAUUUUAUUGGUCGACAAAUACUUGAAGGUCAUUCAGUUGACAUUCGUGGAGAUAUAUAUGCUAUGAAAAUGGUUGCAGAAGCGGUGGAGCAAGCUAAGGUUGAAUUAUCAAGCAAGCCUGCGGUUACAGUUUCAGUCCCUUCCUUCAGCACAUCUGUCCCAGGACCUGUUGAUCUUAACAUUAAAAUUUCUCGCCCGCUGUUUGAGAAGUUGGUCAAGGACUUGCUAGGACAAAUUAAAGUCAAGUGUCAGAGUAUUUUGGAAGAUGCUAAGGUAUCUACCGAGGAUAUCAAGGAAAUCGUAUUGUUUGGGGGGAUGACCAGAGUUCCGAAGAUACAGGGAAUCAUUUGUGAAGUCUUUGGUCAGAACCUGAACACUAAGGUGAACCCUGAAGAAGCUGUUGUUGUAGGAUCUGCGAUUCAAGCUGCUCUCAUUCUAGAAGAUGAACAAGAGAUUAGUGAUGAUAUGAUUCCGCUCUCUAUUGGAUUUGAGUCCUCAAAAGGAAUUUUUACCAAAGUGAUUCCAAGACACAGCACCCUUCCAAUAAAACGGACAGUAAAGAUUCCUACUUGGUUGGAUUAUGGCGAGCGCAAGUGUAUCAGAAUAUUUUUCGGGGAGCAUGUGAUGGUUCAGCAUAAUAUCCUAUUGGGUGAGACACAGGUAAUCAAUAAUAGAGGCUCAUUUCAAGGUUGUGUUUAUUUUGAACUGACAUUGGAAGUUGACAAGGAUUAUGUGGUUAAAGUGAGAUGUGCUGGUGAUGAAGUGCCGUUGUCUUUCCCCAUAAACCCAAAGGACAGAUUGAAAGAGAACGUGGACAAGGCUGUCAAAAGGGCUCUACUUGACUGGACAAUGACCGGUACAGAAAUCCGUGCUAGGUUAGGAAAUCUGUCAAAGCAUACAAUGAAUACCCUUGACGAUGUCUUGUCUGUGAGGAAGGAUGAACUUCCAGAAGACCUUUGUAAGGAAGCAUUGAAUGCAUUGGCUGAUUUGCAGAAAUUGUUGGAUGGAGAUCUCGAGAUGUUGAAGGCCAAGAUGCUCUCUGCUAAGUCAGUGGAAUCAAAAAUUCUAAACUGGCUGCCACCAUCAGAAUUGCGCGACAGUGACCAUGAAGAUUAUGAAUAUAGAGAUGCGUAG
rnacentral:rRNA from 1 species